GCGUGAGUGAAGAAGGCCUUAGGGUUGUAAAGCUCUUUCGUGCGCGACGAUGAUGACGGUAGCGCAAGAAGAAGCCCCGGCUAACUCCGUGCCAGCAGCCGCGGUAAUACGGAGGGGGCUAGCGUUGUUCGGAAUUACUGGGCGUAAAGGGCGCGUAGGCGGUUUUGCAAGUUGGAUGUGAAAGCCCCGGGCUUAACCUGGGAACUGCAUUCGAUACUGCAAGGCUGGAGUUCGGGAGAGGAUGGUGGAAUUCCUAGUGUAGAGGUGGAAUUCGU
rnacentral:rRNA from 1 species